rnacentral:piRNA from 1 species
UAGCUAAUUAUCGAGUAUACAGCUAGAGA